rnacentral:lncRNA from 1 species
GAGGAUAAUAUUAGUUUCUAAUGCAGUAUUGUCUUGAGAAUUAAAUGAGAUAAUGGGCAUAAAGUUCUUAGCAUAGUUUCAGGCCCAUUUGAAGUGCUAGAUAAAUGUUAGCUAUUAUUAUUAUUACCUGAUUUACCUUAAAUAUUAGCUCUUGCUCCUGCUAAUUAGAGACUAUAAAGGCAGAAAAGAACUACAAUAAUGUUGGAAGAUGCUUGCUUUCAUGUUUUCAGAGAUGAACAUCCAAUAUGUUCUACUUAAAAUAUAAGAUAUUAGGAAUCCAAGGUUUCCAUUUCAAAAGCCAAUUAGAAGUGGUAAGAGAUUUUAAUUUGGGAGGUAACACAAGGCUCAUUCUAGGAUUACCCUAAUGAACAUCUCGUUACUUUUGCUUUGAAUGUGCUGUUGCAGAAAGAGCUUGGAGAAAGUGCUGGACAAGCUGUGAAGAUAAAGUGAUACACAGAACUUUCUUCAGGAUCAAUCACCUGUUAGGUCACAAAAUAAGUCAACACAUUUAAGAAGAUUGAAAUAAUACCAAGUAUCUUUUUGGACCACAUUGGGAUGAAACUAGAAGUCAGUAGCAGAAGGCAAGUUGGAAAAUUCAAAUAUGUGGAAAUUAAACAACAUGCUCUGGAACAACCAAUUCGGUCAAGAAGAAAUAAGGGAAAUUAGAAAAUAGUUUGAGACAAACAGAAAUGAAAACUAUCAUACUAAAACUUAUUGGAUUUAGCAAAUGCAGUACUAGGAGGGAAGUUUAUAGCAAUACAUACCUACAUUAAAAAAGAAGGAGGGGCCGGGUGCGGUGGGUCAUACCUGUAGACCCAGCACUUUGGGAGGAUCCACUAGGUGGGUGGAUCUCUUGAGCUCAGGAGUUGGAGACCAGCCUGGUCAACAUGGUGAAACCCUGUCUCUAUAAAAAAAUUAGCUGGGUGUGGUGGCACAGACCUAUAGUCCUAGCUACUCAGGAGGCUGAGGUGGGAGGAUCGCUUGAGCCUGGGAGACAGAAGUUGCAGUGAGCCAAGAUUGUGCCACUGCAGUCCAGUCUGGGUAACAGAAUGAGACCCUGUCUCAAAAAAAAAAAAAAAAAAAAAAAAGAAGGAUCUCAGAUCUCAAAUAAGCAACCUGAUUCUAUACCUCAAGGAAUCAGAAAAAGAAAAACAUACUAAGCCCAAACUUGGGAAGAGGAAGAGAAUAAUUAAGUCAGAACAGAAAUAAAUGAAAUGGAGAAUAGGAAAACAACAGAAAAAAAAUCAAAACUAAGAAUUGGUUUUUUGAAAAGAACAAAUGAAAAAAGAUUCAGAUAAAAUCAGAAAUGGAAGAGGAGACAUUGCAACUGGUGCCACAGAAAUAAAGAGGAUUAUAAGGGACAACUAUGAACAAUUAUACAUCAACAAAGUGGGUAACCUAGAAGAAAUAGAUACAUUUCUAGAAAUGUAAACUACCAAGACUGAAUCAUGAAGAAACAGAAAAUCUGAACAGACCUGUCACUAGUAAGGAGAUAGAAUUGGUAAUCAAAAAACUCCCAGCAAAGAAAAGUCCAGGAUCAGAUAGCUCCACACGUGAAUUCUUGCAAACAUUUAAAAAAUAACUAAUGGCAGUUCUUCUCAAACCCUUCCAAAAACAAUUGAAGACAAAGGAACAUUUGCAAACUCAUUUUGUGAGGCCAGUGUGUACCCUAUGAGAUAGUCUGGAUAUUUGUCCCAGCCCAAAUCUCGUGUUGAAUUGUAAUCCCCAAUGCUGAGGGUGGGACCUGGUGGGAGGUGUUUGGAUCAUGGGGGCAGAGCCCUCAUGGCUUGGUGCUGUCUUCUGGAUAGUGAAUUCUCGUGAGAU